rnacentral:rRNA from 1 species
CCUACGGGUGGCAGCAGUGGGGGAUAUUGCACAAUGGGGGAAACCCUGAUGCAGCGAUGCCGCGUGAAUGAAGACGGCCUUCGGGUUGUAAACUGCUUUUAUAAGCGAGAAAUAUGAUGGUAACUUAUGACUAAGGAUCGGCUAACUACGUGCCAGCAGCCGCGGUCAUACGUAGGAUCCGAGCAUUAUCCGGGGUGACUGGGUGUAAAGAGUUGCGUAGGUGGCAUAAUAAGUAGCUAGUGAAAUCUGGUGGCUCAACCAUUCAGACUAUUAGCUAAACUGUUAAGCUCGAGACCGUUAGGGGUAACUGGAAUUUCUAGUGUAGGAGUGAAAUCCGUAGAUAUUAGAAGGAACACCAAUAGCGUAGGCAGGUUGCUGGGACGGUUCUGACACUAAGGCACGAAAGCGUAGGGAGCAAACGGGAUUAGAUACCCUUGUAGUC